UGGGUCAAAUGGGUUGAUGAGUC
rnacentral:siRNA from 1 species